UUUAUCACCGAAUUCCUUUGAUAAAGGAUACGGGGGAACCAUUAAAUAGGGGUGAAUCCUAUAAUGUUAAUAGGUAGGGCUAAUCCUUUCGGUCCGAAUCCGUCAGCUAACCCCGGAGGUGUUGAAAGGAGUA
rnacentral:sRNA from 1 species